rfam:Proteobacteria bacterium HN_bin10 1129, whole genome shotgun sequence.
CAGCGGGCCAUCCGCUCCCAACGGCGGACGCCCAUCUGUAAGGAUGGGAGAC